rnacentral:rRNA from 1 species
GACGAACGCUGGCGGCGUGCCUAAUACAUGCAAGUCGAGCGGACGGAUGGGAGCUUGCUCCCAGACCGUCAGCGGCGGACGGGUGAGUAACACGUGGGCAACCUGCCUGUAAGACUGGGAUAACUCCGGGAAACCGGGGCUAAUACCGGAUAACUCUUUCCCUCACAUGAGGGAAAGCUGAAAGAUGGCAUCUCGCUAUCACUUACAGAUGGGCCCGCGGCGCAUUAGCUAGUUGGUGAGGUAACGGCUCACCAAGGCGACGAUGCGUAGCCGACCUGAGAGGGUGAUCGGCCACACUGGGACUGAGACACGGCCCAGACUCCUACGGGAGGCAGCAGUAGGGAAUCUUCCGCAAUGGACGAAUGUCUGACGGAGCAACGCCGCGUGAGUGAUGAAGGUGUUCGGAUCGUAAAACUCUGUUGUCAGGGAAGAACAAGUACCGGAGUAACUGCCGGUACCUUGACGGUACCUGACCAGAAAGCCACGGCUAACUACGUG